CCCCCAACCCCCACCCCUCACCUGCAUGCUGCCGAAGAGGGCGUGGAUAGCGUCCUCCUCCUCGGCGGCGCUGUGCCGCACCUCCUCCACCAUGGCCUGCAGCAGCGCGAUGGCCUCCCGCGUGGCCGUCUGCAGGGCCUUCACGGCCUGGGGACAGGGCGUGGUCAGGCUCGCGAUCGCCGCCGCGCGGCCCCGCGCGCCAGGCCCCUGCGCUCACCAGCACCGCCUGCUCCAGCCGCUCGCAGCCCUGCACGUAAGCCGAUUCCAGGUCCACGCAGUGUGCCCGGCUCUCCCUGCAGAAGGCGGCGGGUGAGGCCCGCUCCAGCGGCCCCCAGCCCCCUCCCCUCGCGUCCCCUGUACGCACUUCUGCAUGUCGCGGAAGCAGCGGAUGCACAACAGCAACUUCUUGUCGGUGGAGAACAAGAGGCACUUGGCGCUCUGAUAUACCCACUUUACAGAGGAGGGCACUGCGGCUCAGAGGCUGGAAUGUUCCAACUGCCACCUCCAGGAUAAAGAAGCAAGAGUGGAUGACACCAGACAGGACAGGAGCAAGCAGGAAGCAAAGCCCCCUAUUGAUAGAGCCAAACCGGGAUCAGCUGGAAAGCAGAAGUGUUUGCAGAGGCCCAGCCUGAUCAUUAUAGAGCCAAGAACAGCAGCUGGCUUUGGAGCUUGGUCAACCGGCUUGAGGCCUGAGUUGAAAGCUAGACCCAUCAGCACAGUCUCUUCUGGUGAUUGGACUUUUG
rnacentral:lncRNA from 1 species